GAUACUGCUGACGGUAUCUGCAGAAUAAGCACCGGCUAACUACGUGCCAGCAGCCGCGGUAAUACGUAGGGUGCAAGCGUUAAUCGGAAUUACUGGGCGUAAAGCGUGUGUAGGCGGUUCGGAAAGAAAGAUGUGAAAUCCCAGGGCUCAACCUUGGAACUGCAUUUUUAACUGCCGAGCUAGAGUAUGUCAGAGGGGGGUAGAAUUCCACGUGUAGCAGUGAAAUGCGUAGAUAUGUGGAGGAAUACCGAUGGCGAAGGCAGCCCCCUGGGAUAAUACUGACGCUCAGACACGAAAGCGUGGGGAGCAAACAGGAUUAGAUACCCUGGUAGUCCACGCCCUAAACGAUGUCAACUAGCUGUUGGGGCCGUUAGGCCUUAGUAGCGCAGCUAACGCGUGAAGUUGACCGCCUGGGGAGUACGGUCGCAAGAUUAAAACUCAAAGGAAUUGACGGGGACCCGCACAAGCGGUGGAUGAUGUGGAUUAAUUCGAUGCAACGCGAAAAACCUUACCUACCCUUGACAUGUCUGGAAAGCCGAAGAGAUUUGGCCGUGCUCGCAAGAGAACCGGAACACAGGUGCUGCAUGGCUGUCGUCAGCUCGUGUCGUGAGAUGUUGGGUUAAGUCCCGCAACGAGCGCAACCCUUGUCAUUAGUUGCUACGCAAGAGCACUCUAAUGAGACUGCCGGUGACAAACCGGAGGAAGGUGGGGAUGACGUCAAGUCCUCAUGGCCCUUAUGGGUAGGGCUUCACACGUCAUACAAUGGUCGGGACAGAGGGUCGCCAACCCGCGAGGGGGAGCCAAUCUCAGAAACCCGAUCGUAGUCCGGAUCGCAGUCUGCAACUCGACUGCGUGAAGUCGGAAUCGCUAGUAAUCGCGGAUCAGAAUGUCGCGGUGAAUACGUUCCCGGGUCUUGUACACACCGCCCGUCACACCAUGGGAGUGGGUUUCACCAGAAGUAGGUAGCCUAACCGUAAGGAGGGCGCUUACCACGGUGGGAUUCAUGACUGGGGUGAAGUCGUAACAAGGUAGCCGUAUCGGAAGGUGCGGCUGGAUCACCUCCUUU
rnacentral:rRNA from 1 species